ensembl:lncRNA LOC102552900 uncharacterized LOC102552900
AUCAUCUGCAUGCUUCCUUGACUCUCCUCCUUUCUGACGCUCUCACUCCAAAGACUGGAAGGAACCCUUGUCCUCACAAUUCCUGCUCAUUCAUCAAAAAUUGUUUUACAGUUGUCUAUCCCUCCUUUAAAGUCUUUAGGGCAUGGUCAUGGCCUAUUCACCUUCAUAUUCUUGGUAGUAUUAUUAUCCUCAUUUAAAGAAGCUCAAAGAAGUUAAUUGGUUCCAAUCCCCAGGGCAGGCCAGGCCCUGGACCAUGGAAGGAUGCUACCCAUAUACAGAAUGGAUCUUCUGCAUGAAUUAACCCAAUCUAGAACCCCCAUCGCAGACAUGCUCCAAAGUGUUUCUCCUAGGUGACAGGUCCUGUCAAGUUGACAACAUUAAUAACCAGAAGAGUCAAGAGGGUAGAGAAGCACUUCUGACGAAAUGCCAUGUAGUACAGUCUCAAGGUGCAGGCGGUGGGAAAGUAGUUAUAAACAGAAGCAAGAGAGAGCAAUGGGAUGAGUUCUGGUAAAAGAUGGCUGUGAGGGGCUUAACGACUUAGGAAGAAAUGGAUGGCCAAGUUUGGAGGAGAAUCCUGGC